rnacentral:lncRNA from 1 species
GGGGAAGUCCUCAAACAGUCAGAUGGAAACAGCUCUUUAGAAUGUCAUGUUCCUAAAAGCUGAAAUCAGAAUCUGGGCCCUGCUAAGUACUACACUUUCUCACCUGACCCUUUGAGUGUCUCCUUCAGGGAGGACCCUUAAGAAAGGAUUGGGGGGGGUGGUACAGGCAUCCAGACCCCGAGACAGGAGGUUCUGUGUUCAAAUAUGGCUUCAGAUGCUUCCUAGACAAGUCAGUUAUAACCUCCAUCACUUAUUCCUUACCUCUCUUCUGCCUUGGAACUGCUCCACAGUAUUGAUUCUAAGACAGAAGGGAAGGGCUUCAAAGAAAGAAAAGGAAAAAAGGAGUUGACUGGCACAUGGGACAGGGAGGAGCUGCUGAAAGAUGUUUCUCCCUUCUUUCCUAGGCGGGGAAGAAGUUCUGGAGACUCGAAGGAUUGGGGCCCAGCCGGCCAUUGAAGCUACUGCCAGAACAGGAGCCAGGAGCCACACGCGGGGAAGAAGUUCUGGAGACUCGAAGGAUUGGGGCCCAGCCGGCCAUUGAAGCUACUGCCAGAACAGGAGCCAGGAGCCACACAAACCAGAUGCAACUGUUGGCCCGAGCCUGUGAAAAUGAAGUGCCACGUCUUCUGUGAGACCCGCCAGUGCUCUGCUGACAGCAGAUCACUAAAGGUCGUGGCUUUCUCCCAGUGACGCACCUUCCUGCGUGGCAUCUGUGCUUCAGAGCAUCCGGAGGACUCCACUAUUCGCAGACACUCCCUGCAGGACCCUCAGUCUUCACUGGCUCUCCUCCGGCUCCGACACAGACACUUUUGUUUUCAUCAAA